GGAGACUUUUGGGAGUCUUUGAAGGCUUUGAUCUGGGGAGUGACAUAAUUUAAGUUAUGCUUUGAUAUAGCACUAGACAAAAGGAAGGACUAUAAAGAACAGUAACAAGAAGUAGCUGAAGAAUGGGGGCAAUUGUGUUAAAAUGGCAGGCAGGUUACCCACAUCUACUUCCUCCUAACAGAAUUCCUUUGAGACAAUACAGAGGGAAUGCUUUCAUAAAAGCAAUGGAAAACAAGGAAGGGUGAUAUGGGUGGAGCAGGGCAUAAACUUUUUAGAUAUUUCUAAAAGAUAUAAAGCAGAGUGGUUGGCUAGAUAGAAAAAGGGAGACCAGAGGAACCAACAGCCCAAAAUAUAAGCAGAAGUUAGGAAUGCUAUCAAGUGGAGGAAAUGUCUCUCUUCCUAUGGAUGCCCAGCCUCUGCCCUUGUCUUCUGGACCCCACCUCCUUUCUACCACACAAGUUGGCAUGAUGACAACGUAUUUGGCCCUGGCAAUAGAUUAUGGCUGGUACAAACCAGUUCUCAGGAUAUCUUACAACUAGAGGCAGCCUUAAGACCCUGUUUUGUCGAGAAUACCUACUUGGAAGUCUAGUCAAAAGAUACUGCUUCCAAUGAGCACUCUCUCAAAAACCUCCAUAAUACCUCUCCUUCUCCAGAGUGGCUCACUCUAGUUUCACUUCAUCUUUUUUGUUGGGCUGUCCUAAGAGUGUCAAGAAGAAACAGCAUCCAGAAACAUGUUUUUUUCUACCAUUUCUCCUGAAGCAAAAGCCUUCAUCAGCCUCUGGUCAUUUCACUAAGGAACAACAGGCAACAGUUGCAUCAAAUGUUUAAAGAGAAUCACCAACUCUGUCCAGCUGCAAUGCUGGACUCCUCAAAUAGCCCAUAGCCCUGCCUUCUUCACCCCUCUCAUUUUGUUAUCUUUUUUUUUUUUUACUUGCAAAACCCUAAAUCCAGGUAACAAAUCCUAUACAUAUUAGAGUUAUCUGGGGCUCCAUGAAACAAAAUCCCAACUAAACAUAUUAUUCCUUACCUAAACAAGAGGAGUCUAUUUUGCAUAUUUUUCUUCCAAGCAUGUUUAUUCUCCAAAUAUAUACUUUUUGUUCCUGUAACAAAAGUCUGCAUGGAGACAGCCCAGGUUUGGGACUCUAGCUUCACAAUGCCAUCCGUUUCCUGGGCUUUCUGCUUUCCUCUCUGCCAUCAUUGGCAGAGCCGUCCGUCCUCACGCUGCCACCUCAGUGUCACAAUGGCUGUUCCAUUUUCAGCAACAGACAUUCUUUCUUUGUGAGAUUAUAGAAACUUUGGUUAUCUCUCCCACCCACUCUAUGUUAAAAACAAGAAAAGCCAAUAAAAAACUAACAUU
rnacentral:lncRNA from 10 species